GAAAAUGCCAGCAUGGAUGAUUAGAAAUGUAAGCUCUGUAUUCAAAACCAGGCAUCAGGGGAUAAUUGUGACAGGGGCCAAUUCAGUAGAAAAUGAUUUUUCUUGUGCCACAUAUUGUAGUCAAGGGAUAAUUUUGUUUUUGUUUUGUUUUUCCCCAGGGCAGCCCCAUGAAUAUGAAGAUACUUGGAAAGUCUUUACUACAGAGCAUGAUUUCAGGAAUGAUGAAACAAUAAACGAGAAUCUGGUAUUAAUAAUCUGUGGGUUUUAAAUUUUAUGCCAUUCAAAGAUGUGAGGACCAGUCAUUUCAUGUAUCCUACAAAGUGGAACAUGCCGUGGGACACACAGAUUCAUGAUUCAUGAGGAGGUUGGAUGUCCGACAGUAAACAUUCACACACACAAUUUGAGUCUUUGGUGCUUACUGGCUGUACUUUGAUAAUACCUCAUCAAUUCAAACCUCUCAAAGCCAGAUCUUGGAAUGAAACAGGUUGAAAAGACUGAGAGCUGAAGCUUGCCUUUGCAUAGUUGACAGCCUUUGCUCAGCAAACUAAGAGUCGCUCAUAGUUGAUGACCAAAUAAAAUGCAGAGGAUUUGAGAAGCACAAAAUAGGGAGGGAGAAACCAUCAAGAGGCUAAAUACGAUUUAUUUAAGUUCCCCAUCAGAACAGACUUCCUACAGGCCUCAACACAGCAAUGUGUUAUUAACCCACAGUAUGCUCUAGAAAGGACAUAUGAGCUGCCUUUCUUGUCAAAUAUCAUCUUCUUCCAGAGCACCCCACCCAUUCAUCUUUUGUAAAGAUCAGACUUGGAAUAAAACUGCGUGAAGAGAUUUUUGUUUUUGUUUUUUUGAGACAGAGUCUCACUCUGUCGUCCAGGCUGGAGUGCAGUGGCGUGAUCUUGGCUCACUGCAACCUCGACUUCCUGAGUUCAAGCAAUUCUUAUGCCUCAGACUCCCAAGUAGCUGGGAUUACAGGCACCCGCCACCAUGCCUGAUUAAUUUUUGUAUUUUUAGUAGAGAUGGGGUUUCACCAUGUUGGCUAGGCUGGUCUUGAACUCCUGGUCUCAGGCCAUCCGCCCACCUCAGCCUCCCAAAGUGCUGGGAUUACAGGCAUGAGCCACUGUACCUGGCCUGCAAAGAGAUAUUUUAAUAAAGACAGACCAGGAAAGUUGCUCCAUUAUCUCAGUUAAGAAGGAAAGAAGGAAAAGGAACAGUUUUCUUCCCAUGGGCACACAAAGUAUUUCUGCUAGGAAGACUUCAGACUACAUCUCUCCACUUGUCCUAAGUAGAAUUUGCAAGGCCUUCUCUCCACAACUACUUACCCUUGCAACUAUCUGAUUGUAGAGAUGGAGUGAUGAGCUUCGACUGUCUGUCCCCACCCAAAUCUCAUCUUGAGUUGUAAUCUCCAAGUGUGGAAGCAGGGAAGCGAUUGGAUCGUGGGCGCAGUUUCCCCCAUGCUGUUCUCGUGAUAGUGAGUGAGUUCUCACGAGAUCUGAUGGUUUUAUAAGUGUCUGGCAUUUCCUCUGCUUGCACUUCUCUCUCCUGCCGCCAUGUGAAGAAGAUCCUUGCUUCCCCUUCACCUUCCACCACGAUUGUAAGUUUCCUAAGGCUUCCCCAGCCAUGGGGAAUUGUGAGUCAAUGAAAUCUCUUUCCUUUAUAAAUGACCCAGUCUUGGGCAUGUCUUUAUGGCAGUGUGAAAACGGACUAAUAAUGGAGCAUGAUGAAUGUGGCUGAAACAUUCUGCAUCUCGUACUUUGAUAAAUUUACCUGUAUAUCAGGCAGAAUGUUCUCUGGUCAGACCAGUACUUGGAGCAAAAGAGGGAAGAGGAAAGGCCCACCUGGGCCCUGAUAUCCUGGGACACACAGCUUGGUGGCCUGGUGGCCUGGCUUAUACCUGAUUCCUCCCCAGAGGUAAUUUGUCAUUGUGUCUGGUCUCGUUCUCAAGAAAUGUAAGUGCUGUAGUGAAAAGCUGCUGUCAAAUGCACACCUGUGUGUGUGCUUUCAGGCUGACGCUGGACACACUAAGGGCAUGAAGUGCCUUGUGGAAUAGAAGAGUGUUCAGUACAGCACCGAGAAGCCAGAGACUUGGUCUCCAACAAGACUUCUGAACAUUUGGAACAUGGUUCCCUUCCCUCUUAUGGCAUAAAUGGGACUACAAAAUGCUUCUCAAUGAAUACAUGCCACUUUUCCUCCUUUGCUUUGUGAUGGCAGUAUUUCAUGGAAAAGAAUCCUGUCAUAUCAUAUAUCUAUGUGGAUCUUUCCAGUGAAUUAAUUGUGCAAAUUCCUUCUCUGCUAGAGAAAUAAAUACUUCUGCAAAACAUUUACCUUACCUAAUAGUCUAAUCUUAGGCCAACAGAGCAGCAACAUCUGCCAAACAGAAAACCCCUGAUAAUCCAGGAUUAAAUAACAUUAAUAUUAUUUUUUGUAGGCCAGCAGGAUUGUCCAGAGGACCAGUGAUAAUAAGGAUUUAUGAGGGAGGAGAGGCCCUGCAGAAGAUAACACUACAAUAACAUUCUGUGUUUAUAUUGGGCAAAGGGGACAGGACACAUUUUCUACAAGCGCAAACUUCAGGAUGGAAAUGUUAAUACCUUGUAUUUGUAGAGUGCAUUGGAGCUUGUGAGUCACCUUCACACACAAGAACUCAUCUAUUAGGCUCCUCAUCUGUGAAGGUUCCCAGGUAAAUGAAGGAGAAAAGAAAAGAACAAAAUCCACCGGGAACCAGAGACUUCCAGGCUCCAAAGACAGGCAAUCUCCACCAGGAA
rnacentral:lncRNA from 10 species